rnacentral:rRNA from 1 species
ACUAGAUAAGACCCCAGAGAGACGAACUGGUAGAUAGGUCGGGCGUGUAAGAAGAGCAAUCUUUUGAGCGGACCGAUACUAAUAGGUCGAAGACUUAACCGA